rnacentral:rRNA from 1 species
UUCCAAGGGAUACACACAUCUUCUGUUUCAGAGGCCAACAGGAAGUGAAACAAAACAUCAUAGAGGACAGGCUGCAAUGCAAGAAUGAGGGUGAAGGUGCAGGAGGAUGACACAUGUGUGGCAGUGGACAUUGAGUACAAUCAUAAUCACCAGCUCAUGCAAACUGAUGACAUGCUGGUAUUUUUGCACUCACACAAGAAUUAUGACCCCACUAUUCUGGAGUAUGUAAAGCUCCUACAGUACCAUGAUGUCAAGCACACAACAAUCAUGUCCAUGCUAUCUGAAAAUGAAGAUGGAAGCUACUUCCUAAGCAUGACCGGACGAGACCUACUAAACCAGAAAGCCAUGAAUGCAAGGAAAGAUUAUUUGGAUGAUGUAUUAAAACUUGUUUCAUUCUUCAAAGACAUGAAGGCAAUAAAUGAUGAGUUUUUCUAUGACAUCCAAUCCAAUGCAAGCUGUCGAGGAGCCUAUCAAGACUUCGGCGAUUGCGUAACAUUUGACACGACUUACAAGACCAACAUAUUUCAUAUGCCCCUGGGAGUGUUUGUUGGAACAAACCAUCACUUGCAGUCAACGAUAUUUGCUGUUGCCCUGAUAAGAUACGAAGAUGCAAAGUCAUUCAAGUGGUUGUUCGAUACAUUUCUACGGUGCAUGAACAACAAGCACCCAACUUGCAUUCUAACAGACCAGUGCCCAUCGAUGGCGAAAGCUAUACCACAAUCAUUUCCAAACACCGUCCACAAACUAUGCCAUUGGCACAUAUUGAAGAAGUACAGGGAUCUCGCAUUGCUGUACAAAAAGUAUAAAACAUUCAAAGAGGAGUUCACAGCUAUAUUGAACUGGCCGUUGAUGCCAACAGAGUUUGAAGAUGCCUGGGCUGAACUCGUGCACAAGUACCACCUGAAGAACUACCAGAUGAUGAUGCAACUCUGGAGUGAUAGGAAGAUGUGGAUUUCAGCAUAUUACAAGAACAUUUUCUGUGCUAGAAUGACUUCCACACAACGAAGCGAGAGCAUGAACCACGUGCUAAAGAAAGGGUUUGUCAAGGGGACCCAGAACCUACACAAGUUUGCUAGGCGGGUCAAUGCUUGCAUACAAACUUGGAUGCAGAAGGAGAACGAGCAAACAAUGACCAGCAUGGUAUGA